GUUGGUUUUACAUAAUGAUAAAAAAUGAAUAUUACUAAUGUAACCCACUGUAAAGACUGGGUUUAGUUGAUUGUGUUGCACUGCUCAUGUCCGCGUUCUGGAACUGUCCGCGUCCCCGUACAGAACUGUCCGCGUCCCCGUACAGAACUGUCCGCGUACAAAACUGUCCGCGUCCCCGUACGGUGUGGCGCCAAGCCGGUUACGCGCAGAGUGGAUUGAGGUGAUCUUGGGGAAUAACGGCGGAGUUUGUUACAGUGUUGAGACACCGAAGUUUACUGUUCAAUUUGCUUUUUUCUUUACGGUCAGGGACAGUAUGAGUGUAGUCAGAUCCUUUUCACUCUCUAUCCUUGUUUCAAUUUGUGUUUCACCGGAUUCGUCAUCGAAACGAGGGACAGACGAACGACCUGCUAACUAACCAAGCUAGUCGGUACAGCUCGUCCAAUCAAGCAGGAGAGACCAGCCUCCACUGUUCCCAGCUGUGUGUCCAUGAAGAGUGACCGGUCUAUGGAUCUACCUAUAUUCUUUAGAGAGGGAGACUUUUCUACUGAACAAAGAAACCAACAGGGGAGAUCAGAGUCAGAGAUUCUCAGUGGUCAGUCUUCCCAGAGUCAUCAAACAGACCUGGCCUCCAUAUUCAGUAUGCUUGAAGAGAAAAUUAUGACAUUUGUGAAGAACGAGAUGAAGAUGUUCAAGAGGA